UGGGGAAUAUUGCACAAUGGGCGCAAGCCUGAUGCAGCCAUGCCGCGUGUGUGAAGAAGGCCUUCGGGUUGUAAAGCACUUUCAGCGAGGAGGAAGGUGGUGAGCUUAAUACGCUCAUCAAUUGACGUUACUCGCAGAAGAAGCACCGGCUAACUCCGUGCCAGCAGCCGCGGUAAUACGGAGGGUGCAAGCGUUAAUCGGAAUUACUGGGCGUAAAGCGCACGCAGGCGGUUUGUUAAGUCAGAUGUGAAAUCCCCGGGCUCAACCUGGGAACUGCAUUUGAAACUGGCAAGCUAGAGUCUCGUAGAGGGGGGUAGAAUUCCAGGUGUAGCGGUGAAAUGCGUAGAGAUCUGGAGGAAUACCGGUGGCGAAGGCGGCCCCCUGGACGAAGACUGACGCUCAGGUGCGAAAGCGUGGGGCAGCAAACAGGAUUAGAUACCCUGGUAGUCCACGCUGUAAACGAUGUCGAUUUUGGAGGUUGUGCCCUUGAGGCGUGGCUUCCGGAGCUAACGCGUUAAAGUCGACCGCCUGGGGAGUACGGCGCAAGGUUAAAACUUAAAUGAAUUGACGGGGUCAUAGCUG
rnacentral:rRNA from 1 species